GGGUUGUGAGGUUAAGCGACUAAGCGUACACGGUGGAUGCCCUGGCAGUCAGAGGCGAUGAAGGGCGUGCUAAUCUGCGAUAAGCGCCGGUAAGGUGAUAUGAACCGUUAUAACCGGCGAUACCCGAAUGGGGAAACCCAGUGUGAUUCGUCACACUAUCAUUAACUGAAUCCAUAGGUUAAUGAGGCGAACCGGGGGAACUGAAACAUCUAAGUACCCCGAGGAAAAGAAAUCAACCGAGAUUCCCCCAGUAGCGGCGAGCGAACGGGGAGGAGCCCAGAGCCUGAAUCAGCAUGUGUGUUAGUGGAAGCGUCUGGAAAGGCGCGCGAUACAGGGUGACAGCCCCGUACACAAAAGCGCAUGUGCUGUGAGCUCGAUGAGUAGGGCGGGACACGUGGUAUCCUGUCUGAAUAUGGGGGGACCAUCCUCCAAGGCUAAAUACUCCUGACUGACCGAUAGUGAACCAGUACCGUGAGGGAAAGGCGAAAAGAACCCCGGCGAGGGGAGUGAAAAAGAACCUGAAACCGUGUACGUACAAGCAGUGGGAGCACAGGUUUACCUGUGUGACUGCGUACCUUUUGUAUAAUGGGUCAGCGACUUAUAUUCUGUAGCAAGGUUAACCGUAUAGGGGAGCCGGAGGGAAACCGAGUCUUAAUUGGGCGUUAAGUUGCAGGGUAUAGACCCGAAACCCGGUGAUCUAGCCAUGGGCAGGUUGAAGGUUGGGUAACACUAACUGGAGGACCGAACCGACUAAUGUUGAAAAAUUAGCGGAUGAUCUGUGGCUGGGGGUGAAAGGCCAAUCAAACCGGGAGAUAGCUGGUUCUCCCCGAAAGCUAUUUAGGUAGCGCCUCGUGAAUUCAUCUCCGGGGGUAGAGCACUGUUUCGGCUAGGGGGCCAUCCCGGCUUACCAACCCGAUGCAAACUGCGAAUACCGGAGAAUGUUAUCACGGGAGACACACGGCGGGUGCUAACGUCCGUCGUGAAGAGGGAAACAACCCAGACCGCCAGCUAAGGUCCCAAAGUCAUGGUUAAGUGGGAAACGAUGUGGGAAGGCCCAGACAGCCAGGAUGUUGGCUUAGAAGCAGCCAUCAUUUAAAGAAAGCGUAAUAGCUCACUGGUCGAGUCGGCCUGCGCGGAAGAUGUAACGGGGCUAAACCAUGCACCGAAGCUGCGGCAGCGAACGUAUCACCCAAGACAACUUUACGGAGUUGACGAUUGACGGAGCGAAGCGACGUCAAAGCGUUCAUUAAAGUCGAGUUGGCUUAGGGAUACGUUCGUUGGGUAGGGGAGCGUUCUGUAAGCCUGUGAAGGUGUGUCGUGAGGCAUGCUGGAGGUAUCAGAAGUGCGAAUGCUGACAUAAGUAACGAUAAAGCGGGUGAAAAGCCCGCUCGCCGGAAGACCA
rnacentral:rRNA from 1 species